CUUUUUAUGAGAGUUUGAUCCUGGCUCAGGACGAACGCUGGCGGCGUGCCUAAUACAUGCAAGUCGAACGCUUCUUUUUCCACCGGAGCUUGCUCCACCGGAAAAAGAGGAGUGGCGAACGGGUGAGUAACACGUGGGUAACCUGCCCAUCAGAAGGGGAUAACACUUGGAAACAGGUGCUAAUACCGUAUAACAAUCGAAACCGCAUGGUUUUGAUUUGAAAGGCGCUUUCGGGUGUCGCUGAUGGAUGGACCCGCGGUGCAUUAGCUAGUUGGUGAGGUAACGGCUCACCAAGGCGACGAUGCAUAGCCGACCUGAGAGGGUGAUCGGCCACAUUGGGACUGAGACACGGCCCAAACUCCUACGGGAGGCAGCAGUAGGGAAUCUUCGGCAAUGGACGAAAGUCUGACCGAGCAACGCCGCGUGAGUGAAGAAGGUUUUCGGAUCGUAAAACUCUGUUGUUAGAGAAGAACAAGGAUGAGAGUAACUGUUCAUCCCUUGACGGUAUCUAACCAGAAAGCCACGGCUAACUACGUGCCAGCAGCCGCGGUAAUACGUAGGUGGCAAGCGUUGUCCGGAUUUAUUGGGCGUAAAGCGAGCGCAGGCGGUUUCUUAAGUCUGAUGUGAAAGCCCCCGGCUCAACCGGGGAGGGUCAUUGGAAACUGGGAGACUUGAGUGCAGAAGAGGAGAGUGGAAUUCCAUGUGUAGCGGUGAAAUGCGUAGAUAUAUGGAGGAACACCAGUGGCGAAGGCGGCUCUCUGGUCUGUAACUGACGCUGAGGCUCGAAAGCGUGGGGAGCAAACAGGAUUAGAUACCCUGGUAGUCCACGCCGUAAACGAUGAGUGCUAAGUGUUGGAGGGUUUCCGCCCUUCAGUGCUGCAGCUAACGCAUUAAGCACUCCGCCUGGGGAGUACGACCGCAAGGUUGAAACUCAAAGGAAUUGACGGGGGCCCGCACAAGCGGUGGAGCAUGUGGUUUAAUUCGAAGCAACGCGAAGAACCUUACCAGGUCUUGACAUCCUUUGACCACUCUAGAGAUAGAGCUUCCCCUUCGGGGGCAAAGUGACAGGUGGUGCAUGGUUGUCGUCAGCUCGUGUCGUGAGAUGUUGGGUUAAGUCCCGCAACGAGCGCAACCCUUAUUGUUAGUUGCCAUCAUUUAGUUGGGCACUCUAGCAAGACUGCCGGUGACAAACCGGAGGAAGGUGGGGAUGACGUCAAAUCAUCAUGCCCCUUAUGACCUGGGCUACACACGUGCUACAAUGGGAAGUACAACGAGUCGCAAAGUCGCGAGGCUAAGCUAAUCUCUUAAAGCUUCUCUCAGUUCGGAUUGUAGGCUGCAACUCGCCUACAUGAAGCCGGAAUCGCUAGUAAUCGCGGAUCAGCACGCCGCGGUGAAUACGUUCCCGGGCCUUGUACACACCGCCCGUCACACCACGAGAGUUUGUAACACCCGAAGUCGGUGAGGUAACCUUUUGGAGCCAGCCGCCUAAGGUGGGAUAGAUGAUUGGGGUGAAGUCGUAACAAGGUAGCCGUAUCGGAAGGUGCGGCUGGAUCACCUCCUUUCU
rnacentral:rRNA from 1 species